rnacentral:rRNA from 1 species
UACGUAGGGUGCGAGCGUUAAUCGGAAUUACUGGGCGUACAGCGCGCGCAGGCGGCCAGGUAUGUGACCGGUGACAUCCUCGGGCUCAACCCGAGGCGGCCCGGUUAGACAGCCUGGCUGGAGGCAGGGAGAGGGAUGUGGAAUACCCGGUGGAGCGGUGAAAUGCGCAGAUAUCAGGAGGAACACCGAUGGCGAAGGCAGGUCACUGGGCCGCAACUGACGCUGAGGAGCGAAAGCAUGGGGAGCGAACGGG